AGGCCCUUCGGGGUACUCGAGUGGCGAACGGGUGAGUAACACGUGGGUGAUCUGCCCUGCACUUUGGGAUAAGCCUGGGAAACUGGGUCUAAUACCGAAUAGGACUACGGCCUGCAUGGGUUGUGGUGGAAAGCUUUUGCGGUGUGGGAUGGGCCCGCGGCCUAUCAGCUUGUUGGUGAGGUUACGGCUCACCAAGGCGACGACGGGUAGCCGGCCUGAGAGGGUGACCGGCCACACUGGGACUGAGAUACGGCCCAGACUCCUACGGGAGGCAGCAGUGGGGAAUAUUGCACAAUGGGCGCAAGCCUGAUGCAGCGACGCCGCGUGAGGGAUGACGGCCUUCGGGUUGUAAACCUCUUUCGCCAGGGACGAAGCGCAAGUGACGGUACCUGGAGAAGAAGGACCGGCCAACUACGUGCCAGCAGCCGCGGUAAUACGUAGGGUCCGAGCGUUGUCCGGAAUUACUGGGCGUAAAGAGCUCGUAGGUGGUUUGUCGCGUUGUUCGUGAAAACUCACAGCUUAACUGUGGGCGUGCGGGCGAUACGGGCAGACUGGAGUACUGCAGGGGAGACUGGAAUUCCUGGUGUAGCGGUGGAAUGCGCAGAUAUCAGGAGGAACACCGGUGGCGAAGGCGGGUCUCUGGGCAGUAACUGACGCUGAGGAGCGAAAGCGUGGGGAGCGAACAGGAUUAGAUACCCUGGUAGUCCACGCCGUAAACGGUGGGUACUAGGUGUGGGUUUCCUUCCUUGGGAUCCGUGCCGUAGCUAACGCAUUAAGUACCCCGCCUGGGGAGUACGGCCGCAAGGCUAAAACUCAAAGAAAUUGACGGGGGCCCGCACAAGCGGCGGAGCAUGUGGAUUAAUUCGAUGCAACGCGAAGAACCUUACCUGGGUUUGACAUGCACAGGACGUGCCUAGAGAUAGGUAUUCCCUUGUGGCCUGUGUGCAGGUGGUGCAUGGCUGUCGUCAGCUCGUGUCGUGAGAUGUUGGGUUAAGUCCCGCAACGAGCGCAACCCUUGUCUCAUGUUGCCAGCACGUAAUGGUGGGGACUCGUGAGAGACUGCCGGGGUCAACUCGGAGGAAGGUGGGGAUGACGUCAAGUCAUCAUGCCCCUUAUGUCCAGGGCUUCACACAUGCUACAAUGGCCGGUACAAAGGGCUGCGAUGCCGCGAGGUGGAGCGAAUCCUUUUAAAGCCGGUCUCAGUUCGGAUCGGGGUCUGCAACUCGACCCCGUGAAGUCGGAGUCGCUAGUAAUCGCAGAUCAGCAACGCUGCGGUGAAUACGUUCCCGGGCCUUGUACACACCGCCCGUCACGUCAUGAAAGUCGGUAACACCCGAAGCCGGUGGCCUAAC
rnacentral:rRNA from 1 species